rnacentral:lncRNA from 1 species
GAAAUGGACAUUUUUUUCCCCACAAACUCCCUAAAUCAUUCUGUCAUGCGGCCCUAUUUGGGAAAUGUCUGGCACAUUGUCUUCUAGGACAGCACUCACACUAUUACUUCAGGAAAAAAGGAAGGCUGUGUUAGUGAGGCUCAUUGCAAUAGCUGUUGUAAAAACAUGCACUGCAAAAAAAAAAAAAAAAUUGCUGAAGAAAGAAGGCUGAGUGGAAAACAGGAAAGCUCAGGGGCAGAAAGUAAAGGCAAAUUAUUUUAACAACCUGAUACUUCACAUAGGUGAGAAGAUUUCAGAGAAUGAGCUAAUCUAGGAAUAGUUUCAGAAAGCAAGGGGUUUAGCCUGAGGUGGGAAAGUUGUCCCCAAAUAUUUGAGGGGCUGUCCUGUAGAAAGAGGGAGAAGCAAGACUAGGACCCGUGAGCAGGAGCCAAUGAGAAGGACAGUUACGCUCAGCAUUAGGAAGAUCCUACAAACUCCAGAGUGCUUCCCCAAAGCCUCAGUCCUGGGGAACGAUAGUGACCACCAGGAAGGAAGCCCCACCUCACUGUAGGGUUUGGCAGGGGCCAUGUGACCUCACAAUGUCAGUCCUGUACUGACUGGGGGGUUGGUUUCAUCCUCUAUAAUUCCUUCUUCUCUUUAUACUCUCCUAGUCAUGCUUCUCAAAAUGCUCAUGUAGAAUAAAUAAAGGUGUACAUUACUGAUACGGAUUUUACCGUCAGAGAAAUUGAAUUGAACUAAGGUGAAUUGCCAAAAGUGAUGGACUUGCUAGCAAAGCUGAGAGCAGAUGUGUCCUUCCUGGCCUUUUUCUCUUGUGUCUCCUUGCUCCAACCUAAAGCCAUUUAGGUGCUUAAGAAGCCCCAAAGCACCUUGGAAUAUAGCUUGAAAGCACUACUUCAGUAAAAUAUAGAUUCCUGGGCACCCCCCACCUCCGCCCCGAUCUACUGAAUCACAGUCUGUGGGGAAUGGGACCCAGGAAUGUGAAUGCACACCAUUUCAGACUUCGGUCUGAAGUAGGGGAUAGGAAAUCUGAUAAUCUUGUGUUGCACAGACUAUUUUAUGUCAUUGUUGAUAGAUUUCUACAAGUCCAAAAAACAUCACCAGUCACAUUCAUGAGAAGACGAGCAAUUGUUCCCGAUGAAGUUGAUACAGGGCUACAAAUGGACAAUUGUGAAGGCAACUGAGGUGACAUGUCACCUGGUAUCAUGGAAAUGGCAUCCUGAGCUCCAGACAUCAGAAAUGCAAAAUUCUG